AUUGAACGCUGGCGGCAGGCUUAACACAUGCAAGUCGAGCGGUAACAGAGAAAUAGCUUGCUAUUUCUGCUGACGAGCGGCGGACGGGUGAGUAAUGCUUGGGAAUCUGCCUAGUCGAGGGGGACAACAGUUGGAAACGACUGCUAAUACCGCAUACGGUCUACGGACCAAAGGAGGGGAUCUCGGAACCUUUCGCCAUUUGAUCAGCCCAAGUGAGAUUAGCUAGUUGGUAAGGUAAUGGCUUACCAAGGCGACGAUCUCUAGCUGGUUUGAGAGGAUGAUCAGCCACACUGGGACUGAGACACGGCCCAGACUCCUACGGGAGGCAGCAGUGGGGAAUAUUGCACAAUGGGCGAAAGCCUGAUGCAGCCAUGCCGCGUGUGUGAAGAAGGCCUUCGGGUUGUAAAGCACUUUCAGUUGUGAGGAAAGGUUAGUAGUUAAUAACUGCUUACUGUGACGUUAGCAACAGAAGAAGGACCGGCUAACUCCGUGCCAGCAGCCGCGGUAAUACGGAGGGUCCGAGCGUUAAUCGGAAUUACUGGGCGUAAAGCGCAUGCAGGUGGUUUGUUAAGUCAGAUGUGAAAGCCCGGCGCUAAACCUCGGAAUUGCAUUUAAAACUGGGUAACUAGAGUACAGUAGAGGGGGGUAGAAUUUCAGGUGUAGCGGUGAAAUGCGUAGAGAUCUGAAGGAAUACCAGUGGCGAAGGCGGCCCCCUGGACUGAUACUGACACUGAGGUGCGAAAGCGUGGGUAGCGAACAGGAUUAGAUCCCCUGGUAGUCCACGCCGUAAACGAUGUCUACUAGCCGUUGGGAGGCUUGACCUCUUAGUGGCGCAGCUAACGCGAUAAGUAGACCGCCUGGGGAGUACGGCAGAAAGGUUAAAACUCAAAUGAAUUGACGGGGGCCCGCACAAGCGGUGGAGCAUGUGGUUUAAUUCGAUGCAACGCGAAGAACCUUACCAGGUCUUGACAUCCCGAGAAUUUGCUAGAGAUAGCUUAGUGCCUUCGGGAACUCGGUGACAGGUGCUGCAUGGCUGUCGUCAGCUCGUGUCGUGAGAUGUUGGGUUAAGUCCCUUAACGAGCGCAACCCUUGUCCUUAGUUGCCAGCACGUAAUGGUGGGAACUCUAAGGAGACUGCCGGUGACAAACCGGAGGAAGGUGGGGACGACGUCAAGUCAUCAUGGCCCUUACGAGUAGGGCUACACACGUGCUACAAUGGGGCGUACAAACGGUGGCCAAGCCGCGAGGUGGAGCUAAUCCCAGAAAACCGAUCGUAGUCCGGAUUCGAGUCUGCAACUCGACUCCUUGAAGUCGGAAUCGCUAGUAAUCGUGGAUCAGAAUGCCACGGUGAAUACGUUCCCGGGCCUUGUACACACCGCCCGUCACACCAUGGGAGUGGAUUGCACCAGAAGUAGAUAGUCUAACCUUCGGGAGGACGUUUACCACGGUGUGGUUCAUGACUGGGGUG
rnacentral:rRNA from 1 species